rnacentral:rRNA from 1 species
UACGGAGGGGACUAGCGUUGUUCGGAAUUACUGGGCGUAAAGCGCACGUAGGCGGUUUUGUAAGUCAGGGGUGAAAUCCCGGGGCUCAACCUCGGAACUGCCUUUGAUACUGCAAAUCUUGAGUCCGGUAGAGGUGAGUGGAAUUCCUAGUGUAGGGGUGGAAUGCGCAGAUAUCAGGAAGAACACCAACGGCGAAGGCAGCUCGCUGGGACGGUACUGACGCUGAGACGCGAAAGCGUGGGGAGCGAACAGG